UACGAAGGGGGCUAGCGUUGCUCGGAAUUACUGGGCGUAAAGCGCACGUAGGCGGUCUUUUAAGUCGGGGGUGAAAUCCUGGAGCUCAACUCCAGAACUGCCUUCGAUACUGGAAGACUCGAGUCCGGGAGAGGUGAGUGGAACUGCGAGUGUAGAGGUGAAAUUCGUAGAUAUUCGCAAGAACACCAGUUGCGAAGGCGGCUCACUGGCCCGGUACUGACGCUGAGGUGCGAAAGCGUGGGGAGCAAACAGG
rnacentral:rRNA from 1 species